GGCGGUUUGUCCGAGUGGUUAAGGAGUUGGACUUGAAAUCCAAUGGGCUCUGCCCGCGCAGGUUCGAACCCUGCAGCCGUCG
rfam:Eimeria brunetti, Houghton, WGS project CBTX01000000 data, contig: Ebh_contig2001_2